GAUGAACGCUGGCGGCGUGCCUAAUACAUGCAAGUCGAGCGAACGGACGAGAAGCUUGCUUCUCUGAUGUUAGCGGCGGACGGGUGAGUAACACGUGGAUAACCUACCUAUAAGACUGGGAUAACUUCGGGAAACCGGAGCUAAUACCGGAUAAUAUUUUGAACCGCAUGGUUCAAAAGUGAAAGGCGGUCUUGCUGUCACUUAUAGAUGGAUCCGCGCUGCAUUAGCUAGUUGGUAAGGUAACGGCUUAUCAAGGCAACGAUGCAUAGCCGACCUGAGAGAGUGAUCGGCCACACGGGAGCUGAGACACGGUCCAGGCUCCUGCGGGAGGCAGCAGUAGGGAAUCUUCCGCAAUGGGCGAAAGCCUGACGGAGCAACGCCGCGUGAGUGAUGGAGGUCUUCGGAUCGUAAAACUCUGUUAUUAGGUGAGAACAUAUGUGUAAGUAGCUGUGCACAUCUUGACGGUACCUAAUCAGAAAGCCACGGCUAACUACGUG
rnacentral:rRNA from 1 species